rnacentral:lncRNA from 1 species
GCCUUGGGAGCUGCUCCUUAACCUUCAUCAGUACUUGAGUUUUCGAUGCAUUGAGAGGGGCGUAGCUGUGGAAUCUCUCGGGAAGAGAGCCUCGCCGAACUCGAUGGUCUGGGCUUCUCUGUUUAUGAGCUCGGGGAGGAGUUCGGGCACGCCUGUGUCUGGGAGGAGUUCGAGAGCGUGGCCGAGCUUCACUCGGCCCUUUUUCAACUGUGGGCUUGCUCGAAUCUCCCGCCUGCCGCUCUCUCACGGUCUCCUCGUCCUUCAUCUUGAAG